AGCUCAGAACUGGUACGGA
rnacentral:snRNA from 1 species